rnacentral:misc_RNA from 1 species
GAUGUGGAUAAGGGACAGGUGAGUCAUCGAAUCUUUGAACGCACAUUGCGCCCCUUGGUAUUCCAUGGGGCAUGCCUGUUCGAGCGUCAUUUGUACCCUCAAGCCAUGCUUGGUGUUGGGUGAUUGUCUACUCACUUGGGUAGACUCGCCUCAAAUUCAUUGGCAGCUGGUAUUCUGGUUUUAAGCGUAGCACAAUUACGUUUUAUUCUGGGGAGCCCGCGUCCACGAAGCACAUUAUCACGUUUGACCUCGGAUCAGGUAGGGAUACCCGCUGAACUUAAGCAUAUCAAUAAGCGGAGG